GUUUUGGAGUAAAUGUAGUAACAGCUUACUUACCUUCUUUCUUUUUUUUUUUUUCUUUUUUUUGUUGUUGUUUGGCAGGAAUUCGUUCCUGGAACAUUAACAUUCUGUCCUGUGACCUGAAUCAGCAACUGAGACUCUUUGUGACCCGACACCUGGCACAGUUUUCUUCAGAAGUCAAAGGUUUCAUGUGCGCUACAUCCUUUCGAGAAAGCAUGUGCUGCAGUGCUGACCUCAUCCUACAGACGGGCACAAACUCAGGGGGGAAUAGUGUCUAAAAUGGAUGUCCUAUUGGACCGAUGUUUAAGGAACACUUGUGUAUUUUGCAUCUGUUUUCUGUUUCUUGACUUAGUAGGCCUUAAAAGCAGCAAAUAGUUGGUAACUGUAAUUUCCCAAACACACAUACAAUUUUCUAGCACUAGUUUGGAGAGACUAACAUUUUAUCUCUUUAAAUUUAAAAUAUGCCUGGAAGAACAGUUCCUGUUCUGUAAUCAUAGCAUAGUUAUUUCUUAUGGUAUCUUUGCCUGUAGUAGCAACUAGAUCCUGUGGCUGUUAGUUUUUCUUAGAAUUUUUUGCUUGCCUUUAGUCUUGGAGUCAUUGUGAGAGAAGCCUCUGUACAAUGCCCAUUAAAUGUAUAUGAACCUGACAGGGUAUGGGUUCUGCAGCUUCUAGGAAUGUGUCAGAGCUGUUUUGCAUUACUUGCAGUAAAGUGCCUGCAUUUCAGCAUCUCAGCUUCCAAUUCUAAAGAUCAUACUGAGGAGAAAAAUGACUGGUAUGGGUUAAUAAAAACAGUACCUUUUUUAAGCAA